CGGUCUCUCUCUCUCUCGUUUCAGUUGGGUUCUUCUCCCAUCGAAGUUCAAAUGGCCGCAGAGAAACAAGAGUAUGACGAUACAAAGAAGCCAAAGAACGGCCGCAGAGAAACAAGAGUAUGACGAUACAAAGAAGCCAAAGAACACAGAAAAGCGUGUUGGGACUUGGGGUUGCUGGCUAGGCUGGUGUGUAAUCUUGCAUCUCGACAAGAAGUGUGUUGUUUCUUCUUUGGUGAAUUCAAGAAUUGUUUUCUGUCACGUUUAAUUUAAUCUGUACUGCUUUUUCUACAAAAUGACCGGAGUGCUCAUUUCUGGAGAUAUCUUUGAUCUUCAGGUUAUAGCAGUAACAAACUGUGCAGAUAUUCUUUACCCCGCCCUUAUGCCUCUUUCAAGACUUCCUAAGAUUUU